rnacentral:lncRNA from 1 species
CUUUUCAUUGUAAGCUUCACUGCAGUGCAUAUCCUCUCAUUAUAUCUUGCACCUGUUAGUUUUUACAUGACUAUAUCACCACAGGACUGAGGAUAUAUUUGCCCUAAAAUCAGAAAUGUUCUUCGUAUUUCCUCCUCAACCACCUGUUUCUCAGCUGCCGAGGUCUAAGUGGUGACAGGAUGGCAGUCUUUUGCAUUUUACAGUAGCACAUCUACCAGUGAGCACAAAUCAAACUGCAAAGAAAGGGGAUUGGAGCUGAGAUCCAGAAAACCAAAGAGGUUUUUGUAAAGGCAACAGAAAAACUGAGAAAGAUAAGUGAUAACUAUGGGCUGAGAAUUAUAGUGAAGAGUUAAAUCUGAUUUGAGUCUACAACAAGCUACAGGUAACAUGUAUAUGGCAAGGGUAAAAUACUAUUCUCUGUGGAAAUUAUGGAAACUUUUAAAGAAACAUACCCAAUAGAAAUAUUUCUCAUCAGGAAUAAUAUCAACACUAUACUUUUAUCUUUGAUCAUGGAUCAUUUCUCUUAUGAUCAGCCCCCACUGAUCCACAGUUGAAGGUCAUGUCCUUUUAUCAAGGCCUUUACCAUUAAUUGCAGAUUAUCCUGCAAUUCUUUGCUUCUAAAUUUGCAGUUUACCAUGAAUUGCAGAUUAUUUUACAAUUCUUUGUUUUCAAGUUUGCACCAGUUUGAAAAUAGAGUCUUAGCUAAUGUCUAAAGGGAUUUUCUUUCCUUCAACAUGCUUUAGAAAUCGCUGAUGAUUUGUUUUUCUUUACUCCAGAACUCUCCAUUUGGGUGGCCCUGUGGCUCUGUGUCUCUCUGUAUGCUCUUUGCUGGGAGCCCCUUUAGCUCUGGAAAUGCUAGCUGUAGCCUCUAUAAACUGCUGUUUCUCCAAUCUGCCUGCUAUCUUCUACUCAGCUGCCUCACAGCCCUAUGGUAAUGGGAAAGAUUUUCGCAGUUCCUGGCUAUUUUCAAGAAAAGAGGAGUAAUUUGCAGAUUAGUCUGUGAUAAAAAAAAAUAGUCUGCCUCACUGCAGAUACUCUGUGCUAAGGUUUUAAAGGUUGUGGUUAGAGACCUAUGGGUCCUGAAAUCUGCAAAGAAUAUGAAUCCCUGCUUGAAAAAUUUUUAAUGAGUGAUAACUGGGUUUUGACAUAUGACACACUUCUUAUUUUAGAUCAUGAUGAAAACAUCUUUGAAAUUACUCUUUUAUUUAUUUAAUGUAUAAGUUACUUUAAUGUAUAAACUAUUUAAGUAUCCAACUACUGGCAGAUAUUUGAGCUUUUACUCUUUAGAUUUUCAUGCUCACUGUUGUGGGUAUCUAUGUUGAAGUGAACCAUUGAAACAAUUGGAUAAGAAUUGUGAAUGAAAGGAGUUCCUGUCGUGGUGCAGUGAUUAAUGAACCCAACUAGUAUCCAUGAGGAUGCGGGUUCCAUCCCUGGCCUUUCUCAGUGGGUUGGGGAUCUGGUGUUGCUGUGAGCUGUGGAAUAGGUCACAGACACGGCUCAGAUCCUGUGUUGCUGUGGCUGUGGUAUAGGCUGGCAUCUGGAGCUCCAAUUCAACCCCUAGCCUGGGAACCUUCAUAUGCCUCGGGUGUGGCCCUAAAAAG